ACACUAACACCAUCAUAUAUACUACUCCCCCUUUGAAAAACACUCACCGCGCUCUUUUCUUUUGUUAUACACUCCCCCACCAGCCCUAACCCUCAGCCCUGACUCCCUAUGCCCUCCAUCCGUCGAAGCACUUGCCUCUAGAAGCUCUCACCUCACGCAGCCCUCGUCUGUAGCAGCUCUCGCCGUUGAAGGUCUGCUCAUCUCCUCGCGUCGCCAGAAGGCCGUUUCGGAGUUGCUGGUCGCGAUGCCGUCUCUGCUCUCUUCGUGAAGCCCGUACCUGUCCUCGUCGUCAUCAUCGGUUUGGAUCUGCUGCUGGCUCGUCUUCCCGUCUCCGGUAGUGAGGGUAUUGAGAUUUAUUCAAAAGGGCAGUGAAACAUAUGUUGAUAAAUGGAAGGCAGUUUCUAUACUGGUGCUACACUUCAGGUGCCAGGCGGUCCAGCUAAUAAACAUUUGGAACUAGACGAUGUGCUUGUUCGUGUCAAUAGAAAAAUAAUCAUGGCACCAAAAGAUAGAAGUGGACGAAUAAUACGAAACACUCAUAUCAAUCAAUCUCAGCUUUCCUUGCGUAGGCCAAGUGAGCAAACUGUUGACAUUAAUUCUUCUCAACCAUCGAUACAUGUGUGUCAACAGAGCAAUAAUAAUGAUGAACCUCAUCUUACACAAUUGAAUGUGGGAUCAGCAUCACAACCAUCCCCACAAUUUUAUCACAACGAUCACCACAAUUAGAUGGUGCGAAUUCGUCUGACGCAUCUGCUUUAGACGCAGAAGAUAAUGAGUUACCUAAUGUUGGACAAUCAAGUGUGCAUACUAAAAUUAGGAGUAACGGGAAGAUGGUAAUAGCUAUAGAGAAAAGCGAUAAACCGAAGAGAUUUACAGAUCAUACGGUAACUCGAGACAUUAUGAAAGAUUUGUUAAGUGAGAUGCCUUCUCCAGCACCAAGAUGGCAGGAUUAUUGUCCAAAUAUGAAGGACGAGUUGUUUAAAGGUUUCCUGGUAAAAAAAAACAUGAAUUUGCAUCAAAUUAUGAUAAGGCUAUGGCAAGAACUGUUUGGAAUAGGACAAUGCUUGAUCGCUAUCCUGAUAUUUUGAAAAAAGCAAAGGAAAGAACUUUUAAGGAGGCAAACUCAACUAGUAUUGACAUUAAGGGUCAUGGACCUAAAGCAAUGAAAGUUGAUGUUUGGAAUGGCUUAGUUGAUCACUGGUUAGAUUCAAAGUGGAAAAACAAGUCUGUGGCUGGUCAAAAAAAUAGGGCUGCUAUACCUGCUCAUAAACUACACAAUGCAGGGUCUAUCAGUUUUGGCGAACACAAGAAAAGAAAGGACUUAUAUGGAGAGGCAAUAUCACAAAAAUAUGGAGAAGA